GGUUUUCCUGUAGGGAUGAGAAAAGGGUUAGAGAGCAGGCAGUGGGGGUGGGGGGAACGAGGGCAAGGCUUUGGGGAUGGCAGGGGAGUCAGCAGCCACCACCUUGGGGAAGCUGUCCCCGUCUGGGUGUUGUCUGCUUCUGGGGGGACAUUCCCUGUCAGCCGUACCUGACGAUCUCUGGCAGGGGUGCAGGUCUAGAGUCUAGAAGGGCCCUUUGGGGAGUGAGAUGGGAACCAAAUUCAAGGCGUUGGCAUUUAGCUGCAUGUGGGUGGGAGAACUGGCGUGCCUUCCCCCGGGGGCCAGGACAGUCUUUCUGUGCCGUUCUCCUAGACUCUCUAGGGUUGGAUUAUCCUCGGUUGGUGGAUCCUGAGAAGACGCCUGUGCUUGGUGAAAAUGCAUGUCGGCUCAGUGCAUUAGAGCCUCGCCCCUGAGCCGGGUCUGGGUUUAGGACCAGAGCUAUGUGAGGUUCUGCAGCUGCAUCUUGGCCCUCCUCGCACGCACAGCUUUCCAGGACACGCAGGCCACACAGAAGGAGGUCACGAGAGCGUCUUCACAUCCCCCUGGAGGUGGCAGGUUGUGUUGUGCCGUCUACUCCACCGUCAGCCGAUGGGUGGGGAACUUGUAAUACAGGAAGCUUCAAGGAGUCAGGAAAGACCAGGCACAUCCGGCCCUCCGUGAAUCCGUGCUUAAAACUGGGUUUACAUCCCUUCCCAAAACUGUUUUGUUUCUCCAACUUGGGUGCAUAGCAUGGCUUAUUAAAUCGGUUAUCAGAGGCAA